rnacentral:rRNA from 1 species
CCUACGGGUGGCAGCAGUGGGGAAUAUUGGGCAAUGGGCGCAAGCCUGACCCAGCAAUGCCGCGUGAAGGAAGAAGGCUUUCGGGUUGUAAACUUCUUUGACAGGGGAAGAGCAGAAGACGGUACCCUGCAAACAAGCCACGGCUAACUCCGUGCCAGCAGACGCGGUAAUACGGAGGGUGCAAGCGUUGUCCGGAUUUACUGGGAGUAAAGGGCGGGUAGUCGGGAAGGCAAGUCAGAUGUGAAAUCCAGGGGCUCAACCUGCGAAUUGCAUUUGAAACUGGUUUUCUUGAGUACCGGAGAGGGGGGCAGAAUUCCUGGUGUAGCGGUGAAAUGCGUAGAUAUAAGGAGGAACACCAGUGGCGAAGGCGGUCUGCUGGACGGAGACUGACGGUGAGGCGCGAAAGCGUGGGGAGCAAACAGGAUUAGAUACCCUGGUAGUC